rnacentral:rRNA from 1 species
GACGAACGCUGGCGGCGUGCUUAACACAUGCAAGUCGAACGGAGUGGUGAACGGGUGAGUAACAAGUGGGUGACCUGCCCUGCACUUCGGGAUAAGCCUGGGAAACUGGGUCUAAUACCGGAUAGUGUGGGAUGGGCGCUGGGCCAAUCGGCUUGUUGGUGGGGUAAGGGACUACCAAGGCGGCGACGGGUAGCCGGCCUGGGAGGGUGGACGGCCACAUUGGGACUGAGAGACGGCGCAGACUGCUACGGGAGGCAGCAGUGGGGAAUAUUGCACAAUGGGCGGGCGCCUGAUGCAGAGACGCCGCGUGGGGGAUGACGGCCUUCGGGUUGUGAACUCCUUUCACCAUAGACGCGGUAGAUGGAGAAGAAGCACCGGCUAACUACGUGCCAGCAGCCGCGGUAAUAC